rnacentral:rRNA from 1 species
UACAGAGGUCCCAAGCGUUGUUUGGAUUCACUGGGCGUAAAGGGUGCGUAGGUGGUUAGGUAAGUCCGAUGUGAAAUCUCCAGGCUCAACCUGGAAAUGGCAUUGGAUACUAUCUAGCUUGAGGAGUGGAGGGGGGACUGGAAUUCUCGGUGUAGCAGUGAAAUGCGUAGAUAUCGAGAGGAACACCAGUGGCGAAGGCGAGUCCCUGGACACUUCCUGACACUGAGGCACGAAAGCUAGGGGAGCAAACAGG